rfam:Drosophila busckii chromosome 3L sequence.
UAAAAGGCCCUUUUCAGGGCCACUACCAAAUGUCAACGGAAUGGGAU